rnacentral:lncRNA from 1 species
AUGCCCAUCGUGACGUCAAUCGCUAAUCUAUGUCCGUAAAAACUGAUUCGGCCUCAAAUCUGUGUCCGAUUUUCAUUCGCGACGUCAAUCGCAAAUCUAUAUGUCCGUUGUAAAAAGAUAAGAUCUAAAAUCUGUGUAAUGUUUUAUUUUUUUCCAAUUUGUUUCGCCAUGCGCAAAUGUAUGCCCGUCUAAUAAGUUCGGCCUUAUAGGUUUUUUAUUUUAUUAAGUAAUUUCCCAUAAUUCAAUAUUAAGUUGGUAUGUGUUCUCCAUGUAUGUGAAAGAGCUGAAGUAUAGUAUACGUUUAAGAAAAUCCGGCGAAAUUAUUUAGCUGGUAUUUAUAAU